rnacentral:rRNA from 1 species
GAUGAACGCUGGCGGCGUGCCUAAUACAUGCCAGUCGAGCGAACGGACGAGAAGCUUGCUUCUCUGAUGUUAGCGGCGGACGGGUGAGUAACACGUGGAUAACCUACCUAUAAGACUGGGAUAACUUCGGGAAACCGGAGCUAAUACCGGAUAAUAUUUUGAACCGCAUGGUUCAAAAGUGAAAGACGGUCUUGCUGUCACUUAUAGGUGGAUCCGCGCUGCAUUAGCUAGUUGGUAAGGUAACGGCUUACCAAGGCAACGAUGCAUAGCCGACCUGAGAGGGUGAUCGGCCACACUGGAACUGAGACACGGUCCAGACUCCUACGGGAGGCAGCAGUAGGGAAUCUUCCGCAAUGGGCGAAAGCCUGACGGAGCAACGCCGAGUGAGUGAUGAAGGUCUUCGGAUCGUAAAACUCUGUUAUUAGGGAAGAACAUAUGUGUAAGUAACUGUGCACAUCUUGACGGUACCUAAUCAGAAAGCCACGGCUAACUACGUG